rnacentral:rRNA from 1 species
UCAAGUGAAUAAGUGCAUGUGGUGGAUGCCUUGGCGAUUACAGGCGAUGAAGGACGUUGUAGCCUGCGAUAAGCCGCGGGGAGCUGGCAAACAAGCUUUGAUCCGCGGAUGUCCGAAUGGGGAAACCCACCCGCAAGGGUAUCGCUGACUGAAUCCAUAGGUCAGCGAUGCGAACGUGGCGAACUGAAACAUCUAAGUAGCCACAGGAAAAGAAAUCAACCGAGAUUCCGAAAGUAGUGGCGAGCGAAAUCGGAGCAGCCUGUGCGUGAUAGUCGAUUGGCUAGUGGAACGGUAUGGAAAGGCCGGCCAUAGAGGGUGAUAGCCCCUUACACGAAAGCGAAUCGGUGGUACUGAGCGUACGACAAGUAGGGCGGGACACGUGUAAUCCUGUCUGAAGAUGGGGGGACCAUCCUCCAAGGCUAAAUACUCGUAAUCGACCGAUAGUGAACAAGUACUGUGAAGGAAAGGCGAAAAGAACCCCGGGAGGGGAGUGAAAUAGAUCCUGAAACCGCAUGCAUACAAACAGUCGGAGCCUCGCAAGGGGUGACGGCGUACCUUUUGUAUAAUGGGUCAGCGACUUACGUUCAGUGGCAAGCUUAACCAGAUAGGGGAGGCGCAGGGAAACCGAGUCCGAAUAGGGCGCCAUAGUCGCUGGGCGUAGACCCGAAACCAGGUGAUCUAUCCAUGGUCAGGAUGAAGGUUGGGUAACACCAGCUGGAGGUCCGAACCGACUAAUGUUGCAAAAUUAGCGGAUGAACUGUGGAUAGGGGUGAAAGGCUAAUCAAACCUGGAAAUAGCUGGUUCUCCCCGAAAACUAUUUAGGUAGUGCGUCAUGUAUUGCUCCAGGGGGUAGAGCACUGUAAUGGUUGUGGGGGCCAUCGCGGCUUACCACGCCAUAGCAAACUCCGAAUACCUGGAAGUAUGAGCAUGGCAGACAGUCGCCGGGUGCUAACGUCCGGCGGCAAGAGGGAAACAACCCAGACCUACAGCUAAGGUCCCAAAGUGUGGCUAAGUGGGAAACGAAGUGGGAAGGCUAAAACAGUCAGGAUGUUGGCUUAGAAGCAGCCAUCAUUUAAAGAAAGCGUAAUAGCUCACUGAUCGAGUCGUCCUGCGCGGAAGAUGUAACGGGGCUAAGCCAUGCACCGAAGCUUAGGCUGCACUCUUUGAGUGCGGGGUAGGGGAGCGUUCUGUAAGCCUGUGAAGGUGUCUCGUAAGGGAUGCUGGAGGUAUCAGAAGUGCGAAUGCUGACAUGAGUAGCGUUAAAGCGGGUGAAAAGCCCGCUCGCCGUAAGCGCAAGGUUUCCUACGCAACGUUCAUCGGCGUAGGGUGAGUCGGCCCCUAAGGUGAGGGCGAAAGCCAUAGCUGAUGGGAAGCUGGUUAAUAUUCCAGCACCGAUUUCUAGUGCGAUGGGGGGACGGAUCGUGGAAGGUUGUCCGGGUGUUGGAAGUCCCGGUUCCUGACCUGUAGGUGUCUGGUAGGUAAAUCCGCCAGGCGUAUGCCGAGGGGUUGGGACGAGCGAGCUUGCUCGCGAAGCAACUGGAAGUGGUUCCAAGAAAAGCCUCUAAGCUUCAGCUAGAAACGACCGUACCGCAAACCAACACUGGUGCGCGAGAUGAGUAUUCUCAGGCGCUUGAGAGAACUCGGGAGAAGGAACUCGGCAAAUUGACACCGUAACUUCGGAAGAAGGUGUGCCUUGGUAGCUUGAGUGUGAACAACACAAGGGCAAAGAGGUUGCAAAGAAUAGGUGGCUGCGACUGUUUAUUAAAAACACAGCACUCUGCAAACACGAAAGUGGACGUAUAGGGUGUGACGCCUGCCCGGUGCCGGAAGGUUAAGUGAUGGGGUGCAAGCUCUUGAUCGAAGCCCCGGUAAACGGCGGCCGUAACUAUAACGGUCCUAAGGUAGCGAAAUUCCUUGUCGGGUAAGUUCCGACC